CACAACUGUGCUUGCUCACCUGGCUUUGUCAAGGAAGGAGCUCUUCCAUGGAUAUGUUUUUCUGUUGUUGUUCCAGAUAACUUUUAUCCUUUUAAGAGUGCCACCUUCAUUUAGUUUAGUUUAGCCAUUUUAGAGAGAAAGUGCUGAAACCGACUGUAAACUUGUCUGUCUUUUUUUUUUUUUUUUUUUUUUGAGACGGAGUCUUGCUGUGUUGCCCAGGCUGGAGUGCAGUGGCACGAUCUUGGAUGACUGCAACCUCUGCUUUCUGGGUUCAAGUGGUUCUCCCACCUCAGCCUCCUGAGUAGCUGGGAUUACAGGCAUGCGCAACCAUGCCUGGUUAAUCUUGGUAUUGUUAGUAGAGAUGGGGUUUCACCGUGCUGGCCAGGCUUGUCUCAAACUCCCGACCUAGUGAUCUGCCCGCCUUGGCCUCCCAAAGUGCUGGGAUUACAGGUGUGAGCCACUGCGCCAGGCCCUUUUCUUUCUUCCUUUCCUUUUCUUCAUUUCCUUUCCUUUCCCUUCCUUCCUUCCUUCCCUCCCUCCCUC
rnacentral:lncRNA from 10 species